rnacentral:rRNA from 1 species
AAUCUGGGGCCCUCGGCCUCCGAGUUGUAAUUUGGAGAGGCAUCCUUCUGGGGGGAGCGCCGGCCCAUGUUCCUUGGAACAGGACGUCACAGAGGGUGAGAAUCCCGUGUCAGGCAGGCUGCCUCCUCCCGUGUGAAGGGCCUUCGACGAGUCGAGUUGUUUGGGAAUGCAGCUCCAAGUGGGUGGUAAAUUUCAUCUAAAGCUAAAUACCGGCGGGAGACCGAUAGCGCACAAGUAGAGUGAUCGAAAGAUGAAAAGCACUUUGAAAAUAGAGUCAAAAAGUACGUGAAAUUGUUGAAAGGGAAGCGCUUGAGACCAGACUCAGGCCCGGGCAAACACCGCGCCCCUUGGGGCCGUGCAAUUGCCCGGGGCUGGGCCAGCAUCAGUUGGUGUGGCGGGACAAAGGCGCAGGCAAUGUGGCUCCCCUCGAGGAGUGUUAUUAGGCCCGCGCUCAAUGCCGCCGACGUCGACUGAGGACCGCGCCUCGGCUAGGAUGCUGGCUCAAUGGCCUUCAGCGACCCGUCUUGAAACACGGACCAAGGAGUCUAACAUCUAUGCGAGUGUUUGGGCGUCAAACCCUUGCGCGUAAUGAAAGUGAGCGGAGGUGGGAACCCCUCGCGGGGCGCACCAUCGACCGAUCCUGAUGUCUUCGGAUGGAUUUGAGUAU